rnacentral:rRNA from 1 species
CUACCUUUGACAUGUACGGAAUUCGCCAGAGAUGGCUUAGUGCUCGAAAGAGAACCGUAACACAGGUGCUGCAUGGCUGUCGUCAGCUCGUGUCGUGAGAGGGAGGGUUAAGUCCCGCAACGAGCGCAACCCUUGUCAUUAGUUGCUACAUUUAGUUGGGCACUCUAAUGAGACUGCCGGUGACAAACCGGAGGAAGGUGGGGAUGACGUCAAGUCCUCAUGGCCCUUAUAGGUAGGGCUACACACGUCAUACAAUGGCUGGUACAGAGGGUUGCCAACCCGCGAGGGGGAGCUAAUCCCAUAAAACCAGUCGUAGUCCGGAUCGUAGUCUGCAACUCGACUACGUGAAGUCGGAAUCGCUAGUAAUCGCGGAUCAGAAUGUCGCGGUGAAUA